UACGUAGGGUGCGAGCGUUGACCGGAAUUAUUGGGCGUAAAGAGCUCGUAGGCGGUUUGUCGCGUCGACUGUGAAAACCUACAGCUUAACUGUGGGCUUGCAGUCGAUACGGGCAGACUUGAGUUCGGUAGGGGAGACUGGAAUUCCUGGUGUAGCGGUGAAAUGCGCAGAUAUCAGGAGGAACACCGGUGGCGAAGGCGGGUCUCUGGGCCGAUACUGACGCUGAGGAGCGAAAGCGUGGGGAGCGAACAGG
rnacentral:rRNA from 1 species